UUUUACUGCGCGGAGGACUGUAGGUGCCGAGCCAGUUUGGUCCAUGGGUCGCCAUAGGAACCAGACUGAGCCAAUCAGAGGGAAUCUCAGGAAUUUAUUGGAUGGUGGGAGAGAGAUGCUUCCAUUUCCUGCUACACAGGAGCCAAGCACUCCUGCCUCUCAUCGCUCCCAAUUCAGAUGACCUCUAAACUCCAUCGCCAGAGGCACAAGCUACC